rnacentral:rRNA from 1 species
CCUACGGGGGGCUGCAGUGAGGAAUAUUGGGCAAUGGGCGCAAGCCUGACCCAGCAACGCCGCGUGAAGGAUGAAGGCCCUUGGGUUGUAAACUUCUUUUGCAGGGGAAGAGAGCGGACGGUACCCUGAGAAUAAGUCACGGCUAACUACGUGCCAGCAGCCGCGGUAAUACGUAGGUGACAAGCGUUAUCCGGAAUUACUGGGCGUAAAGCGCACGCAGGCGGCUGAGAAAGUCUGACGUGAAAUCUCCCGGCUUAACCGGGAGCGGUCGUUGGAAACUACUUGGCUUGAGGCGAUGAGAGGGGUGUGGAAUUCCCGGUGUAGUGGUGGAAUGCGUAGAUAUCGGGAGGAACAUCAGUGGCGAAAGCGGCACCCUGGCAUUAGCCUGACGCUCAGGUGCGAAAGCGUGGGGAGCGAACGGGCUUAGAUACCCGAGUAGUC